GUGAGGAAGAUUGGACAAUGGGCGAGAGCCUGAACCAGCCAAGUCGCGUGAAGGAAGAAGGAUCUAUGGUUCGUAAACUUCUUUUGCAGGGGAAUAAAGUGCAGGACGUGUCCUGUUUUGUAUGUACCCUGAGAAUAAGGAUCGGCUAACUCCGUGCCAGCAGCCGCGGUAAUACUGAGGAUCCGAGCGUUAUCCGGAUUUAUUGGGUUUAAAGGGUGCGUAGGUGGUUUGAUAAGUCAGCGGUGAAAGUUUGCAGCUUAACUGUAAAAAUGCCGUUGAAACUGUCGGACUUGAGUGUAAAUGAGGUAGGCGGAAUGCGUGGUGUAGCGGUGAAAUGCAUAGAUAUCACGCAUAACUCCGAUUGCGAAGGCAGCUUACUAAGCUACAACUGACACUGAAGCAUGAAAACGUGGGGAUCAAACAGGAUUAGAAACCGGAGUAGUCC
rnacentral:rRNA from 1 species